UGUAAUCUCUUUUUUUAAUACAUGUUAAAUGUCAUGCUUUAUAUUGGUGUCUCAUUGUUUUUUAUGUUAAAUGGUCUACAAUUUUUAUUUGAUGAUGACAAAAAGGAGGAGAGAAGUAAUAUGUAUGGUUUAGGGGGAGAAUACUAUUGUUAAGGGGGAGAAUACUUCAAACUUGUUUUGGUAUGUAUGGCUAAGGGGGAG
rnacentral:lncRNA from 1 species